rnacentral:rRNA from 1 species
GGGGAAUAUUGGACAAUGGGGGCAACCCUGAUCCAGCCAUGCCGCGUGUGUGAAGAAGGCCUUUUGGUUGUAAAGCACUUUAAGCAGGGAGGAGAGGCUAAUGGUUAAUACCCAUUAGAUUAGACGUUACCUGCAGAAUAAGCACCGGCUAACUCUGUGCCAGCAGCCGCGGUAAUACAGAGGGUGCGAGCGUUAAUCGGAAUUACUGGGCGUAAAGCGAGUGUAGGUGGCUCAUUAAGUCACAUGUGAAAUCCCCGGGCUUAACCUGGGAACUGCAUGUGAUACUGGUGGUGCUAGAAUAUGUGAGAGGGAAGUAGAAUUCCAGGUGUAGCGGUGAAAUGCGUAGAGAUCUGGAGGAAUACCGAUGGCGAAGGCAGCUUCCUGGCAUAAUAUUGACACUGAGAUUCGAAAGCGUGGGUAGCAAAC